UACGUAGGAGGCAAGCGUUGUCCGGAAUUACUGGGCGUAAAGGGCGCGUAGGCGGCCUGUUAAGUCGAACGUGAAAUCCCCGGGCUCAACCCGGGAACUGCGUCCGAUACUGGCAGGCUUGAAUCCGGGAGAGGGAUGCGGAAUUCCAGGUGUAGCGGUGAAAUGCGUAGAUAUCUGGAGGAACACCGGUGGCGAAGGCGGCAUCCUGGACCGGCAUUGACGCUGAGGCGCGAAAGCCAGGGGAGCAAACGGG
rnacentral:rRNA from 1 species